UCAGACUCUUAGCAAAUCUAACUUAAAUAUGUUAAAUAUCUUAGACUAGAACUAAGCUACAUCCUAAAAAAUUAUUUCUACCUCAGUCUCCUUAAGAUAUCUCUAACAAUAGAUUUCAAAGGGAAAAAAUUAAGUUCCACUUUUCUGUCCUACUCCUUCCUAUUCAGUUCAGACUUCUCUGCUUCCCAGGGGAAGCAAACAACUUCUCCUCCUCCAAGAAUAUCUGAAAUGAAAAAGCUCUGCUGUCUCACCACAGACCUCAGCUUUAGAAGUGUGAGACUUUCCAAAGGAAGUGGUUGCCAAACCUGAUGCUUGAGACAAAGAAACCCAUUGUUCAAUGGGAUACUUUCUUUCCUGUCAGCCUUGCUGUGUAAAGACUGACAGCAACCUUCAUCAGAGGAUAAUUUCCAAAUGAGGAAAGUAUCCACGUGGGACUGUCAGAAGCACUGAAUUGAUUUGUGCCUGUACCACAGAAUGAUAUAAAUCCGUGGAGUACAGAAGAUGUCAGGACACAGUGAAUGCCCAGAAGCCUCUAAACACCAUUUUCCCCCUGGAUACUGUAAAAAAUUGGCAGAGGAGUCUUCCUACCUGGUUUCAUUGAGAGCUUACUGGCUUGGGUGUUUCCAUGCCCAUUCUUGCACAGGCAUCCCAGGAGUGCAAUGCAAGCCUGCAGUCUGUUUCUGUGCUUGGCUGGCCCAGCCUGGCCCAGCCUGGCCCCCAGCCUCAGGCGGUGUCACCGGGGGUCCCAGAGCAGCCCUGCCCCAGGGCUGCAGCCACCACCCUCUGCAAAGGCACUUUGCCCACCCCACACCAGCCAGCAGGCCCACGGGGAGAAGCAGAGCAGCGAUCAAAGCUGGGGACAAAAAGCCUCCACAUGGGAAACAUGAGAUAAAAGGUAAUGCCUCACCAUAUGUAUGUUUUGGAUGGAAAGGAGGCCUUCCUCCACUUUCUCAAGGCUGUGGUAGCAUUGAGGAGACGUUUGGCUGGUUUUACAUGGCAACAUAUUGUUCAUAUGCCCUAAAUAUGACCAUAUGCAGGGUAAGGGGCUGGCACAGAUUGCCCAGAAAACUGCGUAUGCCCCAUUCCUGGAAGUGUUCAAGGGGAAGCCCCCCUGGAGGGGGCUCUGAGCAGCCUGGUCUAGUGGGAGGCAUUCCUGCCCAUGGCAGGGGUGCUAUAACUAGAUGAUCCAUAAGGUCCCUCCCAAUCCCAAGCAUCCUGUGACCUAUGACAUGCUCAUAGAGAUCUUACUCUCAUGUAGUUUACCCAGUAAUGGUGUUCAACUGCAUGUGAGGAGAGAACCCCAGGUCCUGUUCAAGGAAUGAAAAGACUGUUGUGUAGUGCUGGGUUGUUCUGUUUCCCCCUCACUUUGUAUGUUGGACUGUUCUGUUUCCCCCUCAGCUUGCCAUGGUUCAGGCUUGACUCACUCCGCCCUCCUUCUCACUGCCCGUCAUCCCCGCUCCUCCCACAACCCCGUGUAUCCUUCCUUUGACCCCUCCCUGGUGCCCUGUCUGUCACUCGGCGCUCCCUCCCUUCCCUCUAGAAACUUCUAGCUGAAGCAUCGAGUGAUUGGCUCAGGGGCCAGGGUCCCGCCCUCAAUGUACUCCUAUUGGCUUAUCCUAAAUGUCAAUCCCAUGUAUGCUGCUCCCCUCUGGUUCCCCAUUGGUCCAGAGGUUGUCUCCUCCCCUGUUUCCCUGGUCCUUUAAAAUCUGUUGCAAUCCUAUGUUUGGGGGUUUAGCCCUAGGAUUUUCCUCAGUGUUGUUGUCUGAUUUCACUCUCGGCUGGAGUCACUCUCUUCUUCUCAUCUGUUGGAUUGCUGCUGUGAGCCCUGUCCGUGUCAGGGAGCUGCCUUCACUGUAACGUGGAGCAGUUUCCCUAGGCGCUGUCCCGGGUAACCAGACCCAGGAGAGUGCCCCUGCUGCAGGCAGUGCUGGUUGCUUGCCGGGCGACUGGAAGGGACGAGCCUUCCUAGGCAACUCUCUGCUUCAAAAGACGUCCCUAGAUCUCCAGAUUUACCACCAGACAAAGGAGAGGAUAAUCAUAUG